GACGAACGCUGGCGGCGUGCUUAACACAUGCAAGUCGAACGGAAAGGCCCUGCUUUUGUGGGGUGCUCGAGUGGCGAACGGGUGAGUAACACGUGAGUAACCUGCCCUUGACUUUGGGAUAACUUCAGGAAACUGGGGCUAAUACCGGCUAGGAGCUCCUGCUGCAUGGUGGGGGUUGGAAAGUUUCGGCGGUUGGGGAUGGACUCGCGGCUUAUCAGCUUGUUGGUGGGGUAGUGGCUUACCAAGGCUUUGACGGGUAGCCGGCCUGAGAGGGUGACCGGCCACAUUGGGACUGAGAGACGGCCCAGACUCCUACGGGAGGCAGCAGUGGGGAAUAUUGCACAAUGGGCGGAAGCCUGAGGCAGCAACGCCGCGUGCGGGAUGACGGCCUUCGGGUUGUAAACCGCUUUCGCCUGUGACGAAGCGUGAGUGACGGUAAUGGGUAAAGAAGCACCGGCUAACUACGUG
rnacentral:rRNA from 1 species